rnacentral:misc_RNA from 1 species
GGCAAGAGAUGUGCUGUACCUGAGUGCACCAAAAGUGCAAGGGGACGAACAGAUUUUUGUGUUCGUCAUGGUGGCGGAAAAAGAUGCAAGUUUGAAGGGUGUGACAAAAGUGCCCAGGGCAGCACAGAUUUCUGUAAGGCACAUGGUGGGGGGAAAAGAUGCUCUUGGGGCCAUCCUGGCUCAGAAUAUGGUGUCCAGCUUACUGGUCCUUGUAACUCAUUUGCCAGGGGUAAGACAGGUCUCUGUGCGCUCCAUAGUGGACUGGUGCAGGAUAAGAGGGUUCAUGGUGG